AAACUCAGGAACGUGGGGUAGUAGACCAGUGAGACAGGGACCUACAAUGAAUAAAGCAGCACACUAAUUUGGAAAGACAGCCUCAGAACAUUGGAAAGCCUAAAGUUUCAACUAAAUUUGAAUGUAUGCCCUUCCACUGAAGAUGAUUUAUAAGACCAAAGAGUAUUCAUGGCGCUAUGGGAAAAAGCUUCCAAUGCUCAUUUUCAGCAAUGGAAGGCUUCGCAGUUACCAACUCCCAGGGAUGCCUGAAUUUGAAAUGAAAGGACCCAAAGAUUUAUAAUUCAACCUGAAUGAUUUGCUACGAUUAUUAUGGACAAACUAUUAAGCUUAAGGCUUGGAGAGAUUUCAAGACAAGGCCCCCUUGGCUUCUGUCCUCCUGUGCUCCAGGCAAGCCCUGCGGUGGCACAAGUGGGACAGCCUGGAGAGAGAAGACGAUUGCUCCAUUUGACAUUGGAGAUGGCAGUGUGUCUCAGGAAUGGCUCUUUUCUCCAUCCUGCAAGUUCUGUGUGUUCAUAUUAUGUUUGUGAUAUUUUCUGGACAUGGUAACGAUGGGAUCCCUGGGUGGCGCAGUGGUUUAGCGCCUGCCUUUGGCCCAGGGCGCGAUCCUGGAGACCCGGGAUCGAAUCCCACAUCGGGCUCCCGGUGCAUGGAGCUUGCU